GAUCCAAAAAGACACCCAUGACAGAACCACCAGAAGUGUCGAGGGCACGUACGUCUCCAGAAUGAAGAACAGCACAUUUCUACGUAAAGAGAAAUGCAGCACUAGCUUCGGGAUACUUGGUGAGGUCCAUGUUGCAGGCAAUGGUUGCUGUUAUGCUGUGGAGAAAAGGAGGAAUAUUGAUUGAACCAUUUCAGUGGGAAGGUUCCCCAGACGCACAUACAUCUGCAUGGAGCAGCUGUUCAGCCUUUGAAUGCUGCCGGAGAGGGACCAUAGACCUGCUUUAAUCAUAUCCCUGCGGAUAGACUGUCUCUCCAUAAUUGAAGCCGACUCUUCACAUCGUCCUCAAGCUUUAAACCCACACAACAUUGUAAACGGAGGCACUGGAUUCAAACCGACGGAUAAAUGAAUGUUUGACAGCACAGAGACACACAGGUAACGCCUCAGCAAGCUCAAUUAUAUAACCUCUGCUCUCUGGCUCCAUGGAAGCCUUGUUUCCUUCUUGGAUUAAUCUUCUGGUGAAAAUCAGAUGGUUUCUGAAACAGAGAACUUUCUCAAAUGAUGCCUCCACAACUUAGAACCUACACCAAUGCUGUUGUUUUUGCGAGGCCUGUUUAAGAAGCUCCCAACCAUUGCUAGCUUAAUUGAAAGGAUUGUAAUACUCAGAGGCAUCAGGUGUGCCCUAGAUGAAGGAAUGGCCCGUCAUCCUCUCCUUUAGACCUGCAGACAUCAGGCUCUGACGGGAGAACUACUGAAAUCCAACAGAAGAGCUUAUACCAGCUUGUUGUUUGAGCCAGUGACUUAUGUCUGAAUCUAACCCAGACAGAGCCCGAGAUGGUUUAUGGCAGAAAAUCAGAUGACCACCACCAAUCAAUCGUGCAUAACUAUUUCCUCCAUCCUUAGUUUUCCAUCACAAUCCACUAGACAGAUUAUCAACAUGCCUGCUUCAUUUUCUCCCUUCUCUGCCGCUCCUUUCAGGUUCUCUUUAAUUCAUGUUACCUUCAUCUGUCCUCUUUCCGUUUUUGAGAAGACCUUCACAUGCUGCCCAGUCUUGUAAUUGUCUCCUCUCCAUCCAUUUUAGUAGAUCACUCAAACAAAAAUUGAAAUGACUUCAUACAUGCCUCAUGACCUCAUUUGUCAUCACAUGACUUACAUUCACUCCAGCUUGGCAUUUACAUGCUAUAAUAGAUCAGCUUAGCCAGCAUGAAUACAUGCACAGGUCUUUCUAUUUUAAUAUUUUAUCUGGUCCUACACUCUUAAAAAUAAAGGCUCCAAUAAAACCCCAAAAGGUUACAGCCUGAUGUCAUAGAAGGUUUUUUUUAAAGGGACAGUUCACUCGAAAAUAUAAAUAGAAAAUAUUUUUCUCAACCUCAUGUAUUUGC